AGCUCCGGCGGUCAGAGAUGGACAUGCGUAACAUUAGCUUGUAGGUGAGGUUACGGCUCACCAAGGCUACGAUGUUUAGGGGGUCUGAGAGGAUGGUCCCCCACACUGGUACUGAGACACGGACCAGACUUCUACGGAAGGCAGCAGUGAGGAAUAUUGGUCAAUGGGCGAAAGCCUGAACCAGCCAUGCCGCGUGAAGGAGGACAGCCCUACGGGUUGUAAACUUCUUUUGUACGGGAAGAAACACUUCUACGUGUAGAAGCUUGACGGUACCGUACGAAUAAGCAUCGGCUAACUCCGUGCCAGCAGCCGCGGUAAUACGGAGGAUGCAAGCGUUAUCCGGAUUCAUUGGGUUUAAAGGGUACGUAGGCGGAAGAUUAAGUCAGUGGUGAAAUCCUGCAGCUUAACUGUAGAACUGUCAUUGAUACUGAUCUUCUUGAAUAUAGUUGAGGUAGGCGGAAUGUGUAAUGUAGCGGUGAAAUGCUUAGAUAUUACACAGAGCACCGAUUGCGAAGGCAGCUUACUAAACUAUGAUUGACGCUGAGGUACGAAAGCGUGGGGAGCGAACAGGAUUAGAUACCCUGGUAGUCCACGCUGUAAACGAUGAUCACUCGUUGUUGGUGAUAUAGUGUCAGCGACUGAGCGAAAGCAUUAAGUGAUCCACCUGGGGAGUACGAUCGCAAGAUUGAAACUCAAAGGAAUUGACGGGGGCCCGCACAAGCGGAGGAACAUGUGGUUUAAUUCGAUGAUACGCGAGGAACCUUACCUGGGCUUAAAUGUAGAACGACGGAUCGGGAAACUGAUCCUUCUUCGGACGGUCUGCAAGGUGCUGCAUGGCUGUCGUCAGCUCGUGCCGUGAGGUGUCGGGUUAAGUCCCAUAACGAGCGCAACCCUCAUCAUUAGUUGCCAGCGGGUCAUGCCGGGGACUCUAAUGAAACUGCCGGUGUCCACCGAGACGCAAGGUGGGGAUGACGUCAAGUCAGCACGGCCCUUAUGUCCAGGGCUACACACGUGUUACAAUGGUCGAUACAAAGGGCAGCUACCUGGUGACAGGAUGCUAAUCUCUAAAUCGGGUCUUAGUUCGGAUCGAAGUCUGCAACUCGACUUCGUAAAGCUGGAUUCGCUAGUAAUC
rnacentral:rRNA from 1 species